rnacentral:snRNA from 1 species
AAACUGUAGGGAAGAUACCAUGAUUAUCAAUGUUUUCUCCAGGUGAGGCUUAUUCAUUGCAUGCCAGAUGGGCUGACCCCUGUGUAAAUUUGACUGCAUAAUUUGUGGUAGUGACC